AGAGUUUGAUCAUGGCUCAGGACGAACGCUGGCGGCGUGGAUUAGGCAUGCAAGUCGAACGAGAAAGUUUUCCUUCGGGAGAGCGAGUACAGUGGCGGACUGGUGAGUAACGCGUAGGUAAUCUGCCUUUAAGUGGGGGAUAGCCCUCGGAAACGGGGAUUAAUACCGCAUGUGUUCCUUCGGGAAUAAAGGCGGCCUCUGAUAUAAGCUGUCGCUUAAAGAUGAGCCUGCGUCCUAUUAGCUAGUUGGUGCGGUAAUGGCGUACCAAGGCGAUGAUUGGUAGGCGUCCUUAACGGGUGGUCGCCCACACUGGGAUUGAGAUACUGCCCAGACUCCUACGGGAGGCAGCAGUCGAGAAUAGUCUACAAUGGACGAAAGUCUGAUAGUGCAACGCCGCGUGGGUGAAGAAGCAUUUCGGUGUGUAAAACCCUUUUCUUUGUGAGCAAUGCCUUUAUGGUUAAUAGCUAUAGGGGAGAGAUAUUAGCAGAGGAAUAAGCCACGGCUAACUCCGUGCCAGCAGCCGCGGUAAUACGGGGGUGGCAAGCGUUGUCCGGAAUCACUAGGCGUAAAGGGCAAGUAGGCGGAAUAAACAGUCAGGUGUUAAAGGCAUUGNCUCAACCAAUGUACGGCAUUUGAUACUUUUAUUCUAGAAUUUGACAUGGNAANACAGAANUCCUGGUGUAGCGGUGGAAUG
rnacentral:rRNA from 1 species